UGUUUUCUGAUGGUCUUAGGCGACCCCCGUGAAAGGGUCGUUCGACCCCCAAAGGGGUCGCGACCCACAGGUUGAGAACCGCUGUUUUAGGGAGUUGUGGGUGGUUCAGGUGGGCCUUCCUCAGGAAAGCUGAGGACGCGCUGCAGGGAGGGCAGUCCCUGAGCCGGGGCUCCCAUGAAACAGACCCAGCUCUGCUCUUGUCGGCUCGUGCGCUCUGGUGAAAAUGUUCCUGAGUUGUUCUGGAUAUCUACGUGGCUUGUUUUUCUCCACAUCUUGAUCACGGAUGGCAUCUCUGAUAUUUCUGGCCUCAUUUGAUCCUAUUUUGUG
rfam:Myotis lucifugus cont2.40220, whole genome shotgun sequence.